UACGUAGGAUGCAAGCGUUGUCCGGAAUUAUUGGGCGUAAAGAGCGCGCAGGCGGUGUAUCAAGUCAGAUGUGAAAGAGGCCGGCUUAACCGGCAAGGGUCAUUUGAAACUGAUAGACUAGAGUGCAGCAGAGGAUAGUGGAAUUCCCGGUGUAGUGGUGAAAUGCGUAGAUAUCGGGAGGAACACCAGUGGCGAAGGCGACUCUUUGGCCUGUAACUGACGCUGAGGCGCGAAAGCGUGGGGAGCGAACAGG
rnacentral:rRNA from 1 species